AGACUGCAGGGUAUACAGUAUAGUGAAAACUUUACAUUCUAUGACUUGCAGCCGGAAUCCCUUUAUGAGGUGAUGGUUCAGGCACAAAAUACAGAGGGAUGGUCUUCAGCCUCUCCUUCAUUCACAUUCUCCACUCCCAGGUUUGAUGUUGAAGAUCGAAGUUAUCUAACCAGCACUAGCGGAGUAGCUGGUCAAUCAGUCAUGAUAAAUUCUGGUCUACUGCGCAACUGUUUGCGCAUGUUACUACCUGUAUUCUUGUUUUUAUGUUAAAAUAUAACUAAUU